CCUACGGGUGGCAGCAGUCGAGAAUCAUUCACAAUGGGGGAAACCCUGAUGGAGCGACGCCGCGUGGGGGAAUGAAGGUCUUCGGAUUGUAAACCCCUUUCAUGUGGGAGCAAAUCAAAAAGAUAGUACCACAAGAGGAAGAGACGGCUAACUCUGUGCUAGCAGCCGCGUGAAGACAGAGGUGUCAAGCGAUCGGCGGAUUUAGUGGGCGUAAAGCGUGCGUAGGCGGUUGCGUAAGUCGUGUGUGAAAGGCGCGGGCUCAACCCGCGGACGGCACAUGAUACUGCGAGACUAGAGUACUGGUGGGGGAACCGGAAUUCGCGGUGUAGCAGUGAAAUGCGUAGAUAUCGAGAGGAACACUCGUGGCGAAGGCGGGUUCCUGGACAUUAACUGACGUUGAGGCACGAAGGCCAGGGGAGCGAAAGGGAUUAGAUACCCCAGUAGUC
rnacentral:rRNA from 1 species